AGUUUUUGACUGCUGGAAUAUAAACGACUGCAACAAUGUACCGUAAAUCUAUACGGAUGCUCUUCGACUGCUUGUCGAAGUCCUUUUUGCCCCAGCCGGUAGGUCUCUAGAUGUUACAGAGAACCCCGUACAACCCAAACUGUUAACCUUCAAUACUGCUUUGUACUUACGAUCUUGUAUCCAUUGACUGUCUUGUUAGAUUAACCCAAUAAAUUUCAUUCACUCCGCAUACUCAAUCCUAUAGACACCCUUUUAAUCCUUCAAUCACAAACGUAACUCGAUUUUACAAAACAGUCAAGAGUAUUCAAACCCACUUCAUUUAAAAAUCCCGAUUCACCAUUACAACACUGACUUCAGCAGCGAUUGCCUCAGUCUUCCCCAAAACUCUACGAAGAAGAAAAAUCCAAAUUCUA
rnacentral:lncRNA from 1 species